rnacentral:rRNA from 1 species
UGGAUAAUCUGCCCUGCACAGGGGGACAACAGCUAGAAAUGGCUGCUAAUACCGCAUAAGCCUACAGCCUCGCAUGAGGGAGUAGGAAAAGAAAUUCGGUGCAGGAUGAGUCCGCGUCUGAUUAGCUAGUUGGAGGGGUAAGAGCCCACCAAGGCAACGAUCAGUAGCCGGCCUGAGAGGGCGACCGGCCACAUUGGGACUGAGACACGGCCCAGACUCCUACGGAAGGCAGCAG